GACACACACAGAAACAUAGAGAAAACAAAUAACAUUAUGCAAAGCUUCUACAGUCCUCAUUUCUAUAAUUGGCAUAGGGACUUUAACUAAUACCUUUGGCUUCCUUCUUCCAGUGACCAUUAGUUAUCACCUCUACCAUCAGCCAGAACCUCAAUUAACCAGGGUUUGAAUGACCCAAAUCUUCACUGCCACAGAGCCCAAGUCCUCAACUGUUCCAUCCUUACACUUUUGAAGACCCAUGGGAAUAGUUGCUACUUGGUACUGAUAUGGCCUACUCCCAAAUUACAGGAAUGGUCUUUUGUUUUUCAAGAAAUACUCAUUAUCCUGCAUUCUAGCACAUACUGGUGCAAGAGGGUAAAAAUCUUGUGGUUUUAUGAUAUAAAAACCUGCUGGUGAUUUGUGGUGUUGUUUUAG